rnacentral:rRNA from 1 species
UGGGGAAUUUUGCACAAUGGAGGAAACUCUGAUGCAGCGACGCCGCGUGAGUGAUGAAGAUCUUCGGAUUGUAAAACUCUGUCCUUAGUGAAGAUAAUGACAGUAACUAAGAAGCAAGCCCUGGCUAAAUACGUGCCAGCAGCCGCGGUAAUACGUAUGGGGCAAGCGUUGUCCGGAAUUAUUGGGCGUAAAGGGUACGUAGGCGGUUUAAUAAGUCCUAAUUAAAAGGCUAUGGCUCAACCAUAGUAUGGUUAGGAAACUGUUGAACUUGAGUAGAUUAGGGGAAAGUGGAAUUCCAUGUGUAGCGGUGAAAUGCGUAGAUAUAUGGAGGAACACCAAUGGCGAAGGCAACUUUCUGGAAUCAAACUGACGCUGAGGUACGAAGGCGUGGGGAGCAAACAGG